GUGGGGAAUCUUCCGCAAUGGACGAAAGUCUGACGGAGCGACGCCGCGUGAGUGAAGAAGGCCUUCGGGUCGUAAAGCUCUGUCAUCAGGGACGAACGGCCGGUGGAGUGGAAAGCCACCGGAUUGACGGUACCUGAGAAGGAAGCCACGGCUAACUACGUGCCAGCAGCCGCGGUAAUACGUAGGUGGCAAGCGUUGUCCGGAAUUAUUGGGCGUAAAGCGCGCGCAGGUGGGAUCUUAAGUCCAUUUUUAAAGUUCGGAGCUCAACUCCGUGAUGGGAUGGAAACUGGGAUUCUUGAGUACCGGAGAGGAAAGCGGAAUUCCCCGCGUAGCGGUGAAAUGCGUAGAUAUGGGGAGGAACACCAGUGGCGAAGGCGGCUUUCUGGACGGUGUCUGACACUGAGGCGCGAAAGCCAGGGGAGCGAACGGGAUUAGAUACCCUAGUAGUCC
rnacentral:rRNA from 1 species